AUGGAGGAGGUGAGAGAGAAUGCCAGGUGUGAUCGGUCAGACACCUGUGCCAGCGCUCAUAUCAGCUCCCAGAACCCACUCACAGAUCGGACGUCCCAUGAGGGCCCCCGAAGACCACAAAACUACAAGAAUAGACUGAGAAAGAGAGUCAGUUAUAGGGCUGUAAAGGUCUCUUUAGCCCAGACACGGGCCGCCCGUGUCAGGGGAAGCUGAAAGCUAACAUGAUUACCGGAGUGGAACAACUAGCAGCACACUGGAGACACACAGGAAAACUAUAUACAUGCCUCUGGAGGUUAGCAUUGACGGAUCUGUGUCCUGGCUACAUCCUUUUUCGGGUAAUGUAAAGCCUGGAGAGAUCAUGAAGUUUAUUUAAAAUCUUUGAAAAAGUAAUUAGCUAUGCUAUCAGUACCAAACUUCUGAAAACAUGUAACUAGAUAAGCUUUAGGUUACUAUAGAAAACGGUAUUCAUAUUGACCAAGGGCUCCAGAAAAAGCACCAUAAAAUAGUCCAGACAGUUCAUGCAUUAUAUUUUAUGAUUUCUGAAGCCAUAUAAUACAUUAUUGUGAGAAACAGGAUUAAAUUCAAGGCAGUCAUACAUAUUUAUUAUUCUGAAGCUUGUGUUGAAUCUGUUUUCACCGCAAACAAAGGGUUUUCUAACUUGGUAUUAUUUGUCUGUUGUUUUUCAGUAAAAAUCCAAAAAAACUUAAAGGAAAUCAUGGGGUAAUUUUCAUUUUUGGGUGAACUAUCCCUUUAAGUUUUUUUGGAUUUUUACUGAAAAACAUUAGACAAAAUUUAUUCUUUCAGAUGCAUGCAAUCGGAGUUAUAUUAAAAAAAAUGUCC
ensembl:lncRNA